UACGGGGGGAGCAAGCGUUGUUCGGAUUUACUGGGCGUAAAGGGCGCGUAGGCGGCGUGACAAGUCACUUGUGAAAUCUCCGGGCUUAACUCGGAACGGUCAAGUGAUACUGUCGGACUAGAGUACAGAAGGGGCAACGUAGGAAUUCUGCGGUGUAGCGGUAGAAAUGGCGUAGAUAUCGAGAGGAACACCUGCGGCGAAGGCGGGUUGCUGGGCUGAUACUGACGCUGAGGCGCGAAAGCCAGGGGAGCGAACGGG
rnacentral:rRNA from 1 species